rnacentral:lncRNA from 1 species
AUGAAUGUGUCUUUUGUCCAGCUCGGCCGCCUCGGAUCUCACUGCCACCGGCCUUCACGCACACCCUCGCCACCAGCCUUUGCCCCGUCAGCCUCAGCCCCAGCUCAUUCUCUCAGGCAGUCCCAGCAUUGGCAUGGUACCUCCUCCCGCCGUGGGCCUCACGUCUCUGCUCCCUGUCAACCCUACUGCCAUCAGCAUCACCACAAGCGACUUGUCUGCCCAGGAGGAUGCAACACCAUCUACCUCUACCGGCCACCUUUCAGUGUUUUCUGCUUUCCAAGUAAAGACACCAGCAGUGCCCUCAGAGCGGACCAGCCAGAGAUUUUCCGAAGCCUCCCAUAUAGGCUCCUCCGUGGAGGAGGCCUGAGAUGCUGUCAUGACUUUGGAGCCAGGGUGGCCGACCACCUUGGCCUGGCCAUCUUUGGGGUGGGCUUUGGGAGCCCAGCACUGCUGCCGAGUGUGGUGGAUGAGAACGGCUGCUGCUUGCUGUACGUGGUGGAGCUGUGUGGCGUGGAGCGAGCCUUCAGAGCUGAGCAUUUGACCAACACCAGAGUGGUUCGGGAACAGGAUGCGGACAUUGUCCUCAACGACCAGCGCGUCUCUGGAGUAGUUGUCUGCUCCCCGCCGGAGGCAGCUUCUGAAAUCGUGAUGCAUGCUCUCCGAGCAGGGAAGGGGGUGCUUUGCGAGAGGCUGCCGAGUUUGAAUUGUCAGGCUGCCCAGUCCUGCUUCGACGAAGCCGACGGACGUGGAAAGCCUUUGGUCUGUGGAUUUUACAACUCCUCUCCCAGGCGCUUUGAUCCGGCUUUCCAGUUCUUGCACAAACAAGUUUGUGUCGGCCACGCCCUGGGGAGGAUCCACGGGAUCACCGCCAUCAGCAGCCUGUUCCCAGCAGCCUCUCUGGCUUCCCUAAAGAGGGCAGGUGGGAUUUUCCACAACGCUGCUGUGCGCGGCGUGGAUGCCACAUGCAUGUUGCUGGGGGACGCCACUUCGGACACUGUUUUCUCUGGGACAUGCCUUCUGCCCAGAUAUGGCUGCCUUAAAAGAUGCAGACACUGUUAUGAUCAGCAUGAAGUUUCCCUGUGGGGCUAUGGUCAGCGUGGACGUCAGCCAGCACCGUACAGACAGCUGUGACCAGGGAUUGGAGGUGCGUGGGUCCCAAGGCGCGCUGCAGAUGGAGAAUCAGAAUCCCUUGGGCAUCACCGGGCGGGGCACGUCCCUGUCCCUCGGCUCCCAGACCCAGGCUAGCCGCUACCAGGACUCGUAUCGAGAGCUCUUCAGCUACUUUGUCAGAACCCUUAAAG